rnacentral:rRNA from 1 species
UGUAAGCGUAUACCAAAGUUGUUGCAGUUAAAACGCUCGUAGUCGGAAUCUGGCAGUUCCGGAAGUGUGCACGUCGUGUGCGCACUUUGCGGGGACUGCUUUUGUGGUCUUGCGUAGGAUGAGGCACUUUCAUUAGUGAACGUCCUCACGCAACCACUCUUUACUGUGAGAAAAUCAGAGUGCUCAAAGCAGGCAUUUGCCGUGAAUGUAUUAGCAUGGAAUAAUAGAAUAGGACUCGGUUCUAUUUUGUUGGUUUGUUGGGACUGAGUAAUGAUUAAGAGGGACAGUUGGGGGCAUUUGUAUUCCGGCGCUAGAGGUGAAAUUCUUAGAUUGCCGGAAGACAAACUGCUGCGAAAGCGUCUGCCAAGGAUGUUUUCAUUGA